rnacentral:rRNA from 1 species
AUUGAACGCUGGCGGAAUGCUUUACACAUGCAAGUCGAACGGUAGAGGGGGCAACCCCUCGAGAGUGGCGAACGGGUGAGUAAUAUAUCGGAACGUGCCCAGUCGUGGGGGAUAACGUAGCGAAAGUUACGCUAAUACUGCAUACGAUCGAAGGAUGAAAGCGGGGGAUCGCAAGACCUCGCGCGAUGGGAGCGGCCGAUAUCAGAUUAGGUAGUUGGUGGGGUAAAGGCUCACCAAGCCAACGAUCUGUAGCUGGUCUGAGAGGACGACCAGCCACACUAGAACUGAGACACGGUCCAGACUCCUACGGGAGGCAGCAGUGGGGAAUUUUGGACAAUGGACGCAAGUCUGAUCCAGCCAUUCCGCGUGCAGGAUGAAGGCCCUCGGGUUGUAAACUGCUUUUGUACGGAACGAAAAGGUCUCUCUUAAUACGGGGGGCUCAUGACGGUACCGUAAGAAUAAGCACCGGCUAACUACGUGCCAGCCGCCGCCGUAA